rnacentral:rRNA from 1 species
UCAGAAACUCAAAGGAAUUGACGGGGGCCCGCACAAGCGGUGGAGCAUGUGGUUUAAUUCGAUGAUACGCGAGGAACCUUACCUGGGCUCAAAUGUAUGUUGACGUAUUCUGAAAGGGAUACUUCUUCGGACAAUAUACAAGGUGCUGCAUGGUUGUCGUCAGCUCGUGCCGUGAGGUGUCGGGUUAAGUCCCAUAACGAGCGCAACCCCUACUGCUAGUUGCCAGCGGGUCAUGCCGGGGACUCUAGCGGAACUGCCAGCGUAAGCUGCGAGGAAGGUGGGGAUGACGUCAAAUCAGCACGGCCCUUACGUCCAGGGCUACACACGUGUUACAAUGGCCAGUACAGAGGGCAGCCACCCCGCGAGGGGGCGCUAAUCCUAAAAGCUGGUCCCAGUUCGGAUCGGAGUCUGCAACCCGACUCCGUGAAGCUGGAUUCGCUAGUAAUCGCGCAUCAGCCACGGCGCGGUGAAUACGUUCCCGGGCCUU